rnacentral:rRNA from 1 species
GAUGAACGCUGGCGGCGUGCCUAAUACAUGCAAGUCGAGCGAACGGACGAGAAGCUUGCUUCUCUGAUGUUAGCGGCGGACGGGUGAGUAACACGUGGAUAACCUACCUAUAAGACUGGGAUAACUUCGGGAAACCGGAGCUAAUACCGGAUAAUAUUUUGAACCGCAUGGCUCAAAAGUGAAAGACGGUCUUGCUGUCACUUAUAGAUGGAUCCGCGCUGCAUUAGCUAGUUGGUAAGGUAACGGCUUACCAAGGCAACGAUGCAUAGCCGACCUGAGAGGGUGAUCGGCCACACUGGAACUGAGACACGGUCCAGACUCCUACGGGAGGCAGCAGUAGGGAAUCUUCCGCAAUGGGCGAAAGCCUGACGGAGCAACGCCGCGUGAGUGAUGAAGGUCUUCGGAUCGUAAAACUCUGUUAUUAGGGAAGAACAUAUGUGUAAGUACUGUGCACAUCUUGACGGUACCUAAUCAGAAAGCCACGGCUAACUACGUG